UAAAUGUAUUUAUUUAUUGCAUUGCUUCUCAAUACUGUUUACGGGUUUAAUCACAUACGUACAUUGAUCUAUAACUAUUUCCAACAAAAUCUGUUAAAUAUUUUCAACUGGAACUGCACUUUGUACAUAUAAAUUUGUAUUCCGCAUACAUAAAUACAUAAAAGAUACUGAUGAUUCGUGCAUCAAAUCGAAUUCAAAAGCGGGCUCAAAAUUGGUAGGCUGGCGAUGCUCUGGAGAACUCAUGUUUUUAUUUUCAGACAAUUCAUCCUCAGCGCUGGAUCGUGACCUUUGAUUUAGCGAGGAGUUGUAAUCGCGACUUCGCUCAUUUUCGCUCUCUACACUUGACGAAUCAGAAUUUUCGUCAUUUAAACGAAAUUUUUUUGUAGUCUGUACUGUGCCUAUUUUCUAUACUUUAAAAAACUGUUUACUCUUUUAUUCGGUAUAAUGCGAAUGUGUAAAUGCAAACAUGGUUAUAGGUUACGAAAACAUUCGAUGAACACGCUUUGACAUUUGCGUUCAAGUUUUUUUGUUUUUCGCGUAAAAUUGACUCUUUUCUUACGAAAUUUUCGAACACACUUUUUUCAUUGCAACAUUGACGCUGCAGAUAAAUUAACCUUUUAUUUGUGAUCGGUGUUGCUCAUAACGACUAGUGAAAAAUAAAAGAUUUGCAGUGCUUGACAUAAACAUGAGUUCUGAGUUAUGCCAUUUGGUACUGUGGAUCACAGGGGAUCCUCCAACAACGAGCAUCUUGAAAGAUCGCGAGGUAAAGCUUGGUAAGAAGAAAGUGACGGCUAAAUGGGGCUCGAAGUAGUACGAAAACUUUUAUAUCACCUCGAGAAUUACGGAGGAAGUACGGAGGAAGUAAUGAAACUGAUUAUCAGGCAGAAAUAAUUAAAAACAAUGACGCCAACUGGAAAAGCAGGAAGUAAAAGUAUUUCAAAAUACAUUUUUGAAGUUGUUUUUGUUUAUGUUAACAACAAAGUUCCUGGCGAUGGCAAAAAAUAUCAUUGAAGGAAUACGCACGAGUUUUAACAUUAACGUGCAAUACUCUUUGAAAUCCGAAAAAACACCAGUCUGUUGCAAAAAGACGAAGAAUGUAGUUGCAUAUUUAUAAAAUCAAAUAGUUUCAUGGUUAUAGAAUACUUAUACAUUAUCAUGUUUUCAUGUUUAGUAGUUCAUUUAUCAUUUUUGCCGAAUCGCUUAAAAAUAGCGUUUCAUCUAGCAAAAAUAUGUAAGUAACACUAUGAAAAGAAAAAAUAUCUGUCAAUUAAUAGUAUCGCGUUUAGUAUAGCGACGGAUCUGGCUUUUAAUUAACGCGAACAAAAAUAGUAUGACGUUUAGUAUGGCGAUUAAGCCAUUAACACUAAAAAAAUAAGUUCGCAUUUAGUAUGGCGAUUGAUCUGGCUGUAUAAUUAACACAAAAAAAAACUAGUAUGGCAUAGUGGCAUUUUCCAUACAUUCGGCAUACGUUUGCAAUACUUUUUGGAGUCAUACUUACGCCAUA